AGACCACUUUUUGCUAUUAAAUUGUUAGCAUGGAUGCUGGCAACACUCUGACCCAGGUCAGAUAGCACCGCCCUAGAUGAAUCCCAAAUAUGGCUUGGGAAUUAGUGCAUGCCAAGGGCAGCUCCCAGUAGGCAGUUUGGAUGCACUCGCCCCAGUUUGGCGGGUAAGGGAAGUGAAUGGGAUUGAGGCAGUCUAUUUUGUGCCAGAUGUUGCUGAGGGCCAGGAAACAUUCCUUAGCUCAUUUAGUUUACUAGAAUGGAUGCAGGCAAAGAGUGCAUUGUUCUGUCUCUUUAAGAGAGAGGAUGCAGUUACUCCUUAGCUUAGAACAAGGUCACCUUCCUUCAGAUAGGAAAAGGUAAAGAGUUAAAAAGCUGCUGGAAGAAGUAUCUGAAAGGGAAGAGGCAAGAUACACACAGAGCAGAAGAAGCACCUCCAGGCAAUGGAAGAAUUGGAAACUGUGAAAUUAAAAGUGCAUGUAUAAAUAUUGGGUGGGGAGGGGAACUAAACCAAAGAUACAGCUGUAUCUGGAUAUGCUGAAACUAUUGCCUACGAUGAUGAAAAGUAUCAGUACUGCAUUUGUUCAGGUGAUAACAUGAGGGGUCUUGUCUGCGCCCACAUGUAUAGGCACUAGGACAGAAUAUUAUACAUGGGAGUGGACAGUGUUACUUGUUUAUCAUCUUCUAUAAUGGCUAUGCUCAUGAAAGUACAUGUAGUGAAUUAUGUUGCUGUAGGCAGAACACACAGUCUAGAAGCAACAUGAAUCUAGUGGGAAAUCUGCAAACGCUGAACCUGUAAAUUGGCAGAUGAUCAGAUGGAGAUACUUGGAAGACAGGUAUAACUAGACCUGGAAUUAAGUACACAGCUUUCAUGUCUUUCUUCACCUCCUGUUAGCAUUAGUUAAAGUCCACAACAUGUUGAAGAUGAAAAAUGCUUUAUAAAAUUAUAAUUAAUGUAUUGAAAAAUUAUUUCAUUUUACUGGCUUAUGUAAUUUGCGCCUUUGUACCUAGAUCCAACCAGUCAACUAAAAGAAUGUAUUGAGUAAAACCAGCUUUUAGUGUGAAUAAUGUGUCAAGGAAUACAGCCUUCUGCUUUGCCGGAACUGUUGCUUUUCUGUUAACAAGGAGAGUCUACAGGAAGACUGUGCACGUUUGCAGGACUUUGGAGAGUUUAACAACAGAGCGCAGUGCUCUGAUCUUGUCAAGUGAAAUCCUCUGGACUUGUAUUCUCCAUCUGUUUCCAUUCAGUGGAAGCUCAUUCCCUUUUCAUACAGCAGCUGCUUCCUACAGGGCAACUUUAAGGCUGCAGACAUUACAAAGAGGUAUUGAAAGCGACAAUGGCUGGAUGUGCUUCAAGUACAUCGGAAGAGAACCCUACUGGCCCUCAAAGUGCCUGAGAUGGGUGGCAUGGGAUUAGAGGAUGGAGAACGGUACUCCUAUUGGAUCUGAAGCUGGAUCCCAAGAGUCCAUCUGCUCUGGGCUUUUGUUAUUUAUCCAUGCAUUAGCAAUAAUUUCACAUAUAUUCUGCCAAUUCCCCAGGCUUGUCUGGUUGUAGGGUUCCUUCCGCCAGAUUUUUCCGCCUGUCUUCUGGAGCCCUUCUCCUGGGGAUCACUCCCACUUCCUUUAUGUCAGAAUGGAUAACAAGGCACUUACCUCAGUAAGCCAGAAGAGUCUAUACAACCUUUCCCCACAGGUUUUGGUUUGGAUAACGAGGGGGAUUGUCUCUGGCAAAGACUAGUGGCUUGUGAUACAGUCCUUUGAAAAGCUAUGGUAAAAUAGGGUUUACAGUGAUACUGGCUAUUGAGAAUUUGAUUUCUCUGGUGCUGUUAAUAGAUUUUUUUUUCUCCUUCAGCUUUUUGUCUCAUAGCAAUUCUAUCCAUUCAUUUUAUAAACAUGUGAAUGCUCUCAUGAUCCUUUCGUAGGCCAACAAUGUCUGGCACAAGAACAUUUGAUUAUGAACAGUAGAAGAGAAAGUGAAAAUGUAACCUCCCUAUAGAAAUUUUAGAGAUUUCAGGGGAGAAGAUGUAUUGAAUAUAUGGAUUAGAGGAAAACCUUCCUGUGUAACUGGCUGGCUUCCCAAGCUUUUGUUAUUGGUGCAGUAUAUAAUAAAUGGCACUGUAUCACAA